rnacentral:rRNA from 1 species
UACAGAGGGGGCGAGCGUUGUUCGGAAUUACUGGGCGUAAAGGGCGCGUAGGCGGCCUUCUAAGUCGAACGUGAAAUCCCCGGGCUCAACCCGGGAACUGCGUCCGAUACUGGAAGGCUUGAAUCCGGGAGAGGGAUGCGGAAUUCCAGGUGUAGCGGUGAAAUGCGUAGAUAUCUGGAGGAACACCGGUGGCGAAGGCGGCAUCCUGGACCGGCAUUGACGCUGAGGCGCGAAAGCCAGGGGAGCAAACAGG